CGCGUAGGCGGCUAGAAAAGUCGGAUUUGAAAUCCCGGGGCUCAACUCCGGAACUGGAUCCGAAACUGUCAUGCUGGAGCGUGUCAGAGGAUAGCGGAAUUCCCGGUGUAGCGGUAAUAUGCGUAGAUAUCGGGAGGAACACCUGUGGCGAAAGCGGCUAUCUGGGGCGAUUGCUGACGCUGAGGAACGAAAGCCAGGGGAGCGAACG
rnacentral:rRNA from 1 species